AGGCCUCUGGGCUGUAAACCUCUUUUCUCAAGGAAGAAGAUAUGACGGUACUUGAGGAAUAAGCCACGGCUAAUUCCGUGCCAGCAGCCGCGGUAAUACGGGAGUGGCAAGCGUUAUCCGGAAUUAUUGGGCGUAAAGCGUCCGCAGGCGGCCUUUCAAGUCUGCUGUUAAAGCGUGGAGCUUAACUCCAUUAUGGCAGUGGAAACUGAUAGGCUUGAGUAUGGUAGGGGCAGAGGGAAUUCCCGGUGUAGCGGUGAAAUGCGUAGAUAUCGGGAAGAACACCAGUGGCGAAGGCGCUCUGCUGGGCCAUUACUGACGCUCAUGGACGAAAGCCAGGGGAGCGAAAGGGAUUAGAUACCCCUGUAGUCCUGGCCGUAAACGAUGAACACUAGGUGUCGGGGGAAUCGACCCCUUCGGUGUCGUAGCCAACGCGUUAAGUGUUCCGCCUGGGGAGUACGCACGCAAGUGUGAAACUCAAAGGAAUUGACGGGGGCCCGCACAAGCGGUGGAGUAUGUGGUUUAAUUCGAAGCAACGCGCAGAACCUUACCUUCCCUUGACAUCCCGAGACAACCUCAGAGAUGAGGCUUCCUCUUCGGAGGCUCGGUGACAGAUGCUGCAUGGCUGUCGUCAGCUCGUGUUGUGAAAUGUUCGGUUAAGUCCGGCAACGAGCGCAACCCCU
rnacentral:rRNA from 1 species